rnacentral:rRNA from 1 species
AUGCGGUUCCAGCAUCCUUGCCACACGAUCACAACACCAACCACUGAUGGCUCGGACAUAUGUGAUGCGUCGCAGCUCCACCUCCUCCCGGUCGUAGCUCUACCGCCCUAUGGUUCUAGCAUCCGCACCGCAUGGUUGCAUCGCCGUGACACCGUCGCUACUGGUUCCAGCAUUCACGACCCAGCAUCGCCACCGCCCCCACGUUGGAGCUUUUGUCCCCUGAUGUCAAUCGUAGCCCAACCAUCGUGCAUGUUGCAGCACCCACGCUGCUGGAUCAACAUCGACGCCGCACGGUCAUAG